AAAACAAGUUAGAAAAGACACAUUUAUAAUAAUGUCACUGUAGAUUUCUGUUUUUUGACAAUGGUUCUUCUAAUUGAGAAGAGGGCAGGCUGCCAGGUGUCUGUCACUGCUCCAAUGUCAUUGAUCAGUUCACCUUUCACCCUCUGUAGUCCCGUUUCACUGGUCAAUCAAACAGCCGUCCACCACAGAGUACUUCCAGCACAAAGAUUUUUGUUUUGCACAAUAUAGAGAGCUUUGUAUUGUUGAAGAGUCAUUACUAGCUUUUGCCUCUUAUAUACAGUAAUAUAUAAUAGUUAUCUUAUAUAAUACCUUUUUUAAACUAGGCAAGUCAGUUAAGAACAAAUCAUUUUUUACAAUGACUGCCUAACGAAAGGAAAAGGGGCUCCUGCGGGGACGGGGGCUGGGAUUAAAAAUACAAAUAAAUUAAAUAAAAAAAUAGGACAAAACACAUCACGACAAGAGAGACAACACAACACGACAUAGAGACCUAAGACACUUGUCACGUCGAGGUCGGCUCCUCUCCUUGUUCGGGCGGCGUUCGGCGGUCGAUGUCACCGGCUUUCUAGCCAUCGCUGCUCCAUUUUUUAUUUAUCCAUGUGUUUGUCUUGGUUUUCAUUCCCCAAUCACACUACAUGUAUUUAUUCCUCUGUUCCCCCUCAGGUCUUUGUGUGUGAUUGUUUCAUGCUACGUGUCAUUUUUGACGCGCUAUUUUCCAGUGUGUGUGUUUUUCCCCAAUAUAUUAUUCACAAGGUAUGUUUAUUUGUUUGUACUUUAUUAUUGUGACUGUUUACGCGUUUUUGCACUUUGGCAUAUUGGAUGGAGGUUUCGACGCAGUGGCGUCUGUCUGUUGGUUUCUCCUGCCUAAACACAUUUUUUGCCUAUUCACAACUCUCUGCUCUCCUGCAUCUGACUCCGCUCCCAGUAUGCACAUUGACAACAACAAUAUAGCAUGGCAGCAACACAUGACAACAACAUGGUAGCAACACAAUAUGGCAGCAGCACAACAUGGUAGCAGUACACAACAUGGUACAAACAUUAUUGGGCACAGACAACAGCGAAGCAGCCACAGCUGUCAGUAAGAGUGAGAUAGGUGAGAUCAGUAAUCAGUAAAACAGUGAGAUCAGUAAUAGGUCCUGGACAUUGGUGAAUCAGUGUGCAUUGCCUUCUAAUCUCUGUUUUGACAUAACACAGAUUUACUGUAUUCAAACAGCAAUGUUUAUCUAUGGAUGCAUUUGGAAUUAUAUUUUAUGAAAUCAUUUAUUGAAAUCACCAGAUCGGAAAUAGACGGCCACUUGUUGGAUUGUUUCUCAUCCUAUUGGAGAGAACAGCAUCAGGUGACAUAGCAUGCCACGUCCCUAUUGUAUCUUUAUCAUUUAGAUAAAACACUCCUUUCCCCCGGCGUCUACCUCGUUAAUAUUAACAAUCUGAGGGCACAAUGAGUUUAUUCUCUGCAAUUUCCCCUAAAUUGUAGCUGAUGUAGCAGGUGGUUUGCUGUCGUUAUUCCAGUCCUCUCUACUCCAAUUCCUCUUCUAACAGCAGUCCUGCUGAGUGAAUGCCAGGAACUAUCAGACGCUCAGGAAAUAACAAAGCUUUAAUGACGUGUUGCAUCAAUAGGCCAAUGUGGAGCUAUUAGCCAACGCUGACUAUCGAUGCAUCAAAAUGCUAACAGGGGUUUUAGUAAAGUAAAGGACCUCACUCCAGAGAACACUGCUACUUGGUAGCUUUCAUUACCAAGGAGACUAAUGGAACCACCCCUCUUUAGCCUGUUUUUAUCCAUGUUGUCGAUCAAAAGGAAGUUGAGCUAUCAGGUACACUUACUGAGAGAUCAAAACAUCGCUGCUCAGUGUACAUAUUAUCCUCAUCAGAAAGAGAUGAGAAAGAGUAAGGAAGCUUCAAUACUAUCUGGUCAGACUGAUCAAGGGCGAUUGUAGUUUGUCGUGAUUUACACAUUGACAUAACCUAUAUUUUUUAUGUUUGUUUAUGCUAUUCACAUUACACAGAGGCAUACAAAAUAUAAAGACCCAUACAAAACUAUAUUUUACUUUAGACUUCAGACGCUAGUGCAUUUUAGGCACUAGUGGGAAAUUAAAUUACUGCAGCUUUUCUUCCUUCCAAGCGAUGAAAUAUAUGGUUCAGAUUAUCAAAUGUAUGGUUCAAAUGAUCAAAUGUCUUUUGUAGCUUUGUCAACUAUGUGUGUUUUCAAUACCUGUUUACUCCUCUUCCUGUAGGCUUUACACAUGCUUCCCACCCUUUGGCUGCAACCCUUCUAAUUUAGUGUACCCUGCGAGCACAACCCAUGUGGAAUUCCUGGUCUCUUGCAAUGUUUGGUUGGAACUGCUGAUCUGCAGUCAAGAACGCAGAGUUCAUCUCACUCUAUGCUGCCCUUCAGUCCCUAGACUUUUUGCUCCCAGACAGAGACAUGGAUCACCCAGCUGCUCUUUUCAUUUUUUUUUAUUAUUAUUAUUUUUUUUUACUAGGCAAGAUCAG
ensembl:lncRNA